GGUCUCCGCUUAACUCCCAACCCCUGUGACAUACCACUUGUUGCCUCGGCGGAUCAGCCCGCUCCCGGUAAAACGGGACGGCCCGCCAGAGGACCCCUAAACUCUGUUUCUAUAUGUAACUUCUGAGUAAAACCAUAAAUAAAUCAAAACUUUCAACAACGGAUCUCUUGGUUCUGGCAUCGAUGAAGAACGCAGCAAAAUGCGAUAAGUAAUGUGAAUUGCAGAAUUCAGUGAAUCAUCGAAUCUUUGAACGCACAUUGCGCCCGCCAGUAUUCUGGCGGGCAUGCCUGUUCGAGCGUCAUUUCAACCCUCAAGCACAGCUUGGUGUUGGGACUCGCGUUAAUUCGCGUUCCCCAAAUUGAUUGGCGGUCACGUCGAGCUUCCAUAGCGUAGUAGUAAAACCCUCGUUACUGGUAAUCGUCGCGGCCACGCCGUUAAACCCCAACUUCUGAAUGUUGACCUCGGAUCAGGUAGGAAUACCCGCUGAACUUAAGCAUAUCAAAAAGGCGGGGAUUUUUCA
rnacentral:rRNA from 1 species